CUAGCCAUGCUGUAUUCAUGCUGUAUGUCUCACACCCACCCACCACCACUUUUUUUUUUUUUUUACCAGAUUGUGUGAAAAUAGGCACAAAAACCAAAUUAAAAUGAAUUGAUAUUACUAUAACAGAUUGUGCCCCCCCCCCCCCCCCUUUCCUUUCAGGUAUCAUUACUUUUGGUCUAUUAUUUAUUAAGAUUGAUUUUUUUUUUGAUUUUUUUUUAAUAUGAAUUUUCACACACAUAAUAAUAAAAAUGUUAGUUUUUUUGUUAAAUCACAAGGAAGAAAAAUAUAGUAAGCUGGUGUAUCACUCCCAUCCCUGGUUCUCACAAAUCCAUUUAUAGAAACAACAACAAAAAUUUAAAAAAAAAAAAAAAAAAAAAAAAAUUCGGGGGGGGGGGGGGGGGGUCGAAUUGUUCAUGAUGGGAUCAUCACAUAUUUUUUGAAAAAAAUACCCACACCUUUAGGUAACGUUAUCUUUAUUCGCUAGAAAAAAUAUGAGCUUUGGUAUUAUAAAAAAAAAAAAAAAAAAAAAAAAAAAAAAAUGGUAAUGCCAUACGCCAUAUGCAGAGUAAUAAUUUAUAAUGCUUAAUAGACAGAAGGCCACAAAGGCGUUAGAUUAGUACAUAAUUAUGAUAAUAAUAAUAAUAAUAAUUAUUAUUAUUAUUAUUAUUAUAAGUCAGUGUCGUCUUAAAAGACGAACGAAGGUUAAAAGCGAUAAUAUGAUUGGUCGGUUCCUAAACAGUCAUACCUGGGAUUUGAUUGGCUUAGAGAUAACACCAGGAAAAAACGCGCCAUUUGCAGUUUGCCAAAAUAAAUUUAAUAAUAAAUAAUGACAAAACAUUGUGUAUUUUGCAUUAUGAAUUGGAUUUGAGAUCAUUUUGAUUGAGCAGAAACAAUCACAGUUUAUUACCGAAUACUUGGCUAUGGCGGAAAAUGAAGAACUUCGAUCAAGUUUCGGAUGUCCUACUAUUUUCGUCACGUUUGGAAGGAAAAAAAGAAAAAUCGUCAGCACAUUCUGGUCAUCAUAUUAUGGAAAUAUUUGUGACUGAAUCCCAUCUGAAUGUUGGAUGACAUAUAUCAAGAUGACACUGAACAGGACAACUGAGGAAAAUGGAUGUGAAAUAAUCCAAUCUAACAGUUGGAAAUAAAUAUAUAUAGUAUUUA